rnacentral:rRNA from 1 species
GAUGAACGCUAGCUACAGGCUUAACACAUGCAAGUCGAGGGGAAACGAUAGAGAAAGCUUGCUUUUUCUAGGCGUCGACCGGCGCACGGGUGAGUAACGCGUAUCCAACCUGCCCAUCACUUGGGGAUAACCUUGCGAAAGUAAGACUAAUACCCAAUGAUAUCUCUAGAAGACAUCUGAAGGAGAUUAAAGAUUUAUCGGUGAUGGAUGGGGAUGCGUCUGAUUAGGUUGUUGGCGGGGUAACGGCCCACCAAGUCGACGAUCAGUAGGGGUUCUGAGAGGAAGGUCCCCCACAUUGGAACUGAGACACGGUCCAAACUCCUACGGGAGGCAGCAGUGAGGAAUAUUGGUCAAUGGGCGAGAGCCUGAACCAGCCAAGUAGCGUGCAGGAUGACGGCCCUAUGGGUUGUAAACUGCUUUUAUAAGGGAAUAAAGUGAGCCUCGUGAGGCUUUUUGCAUGUACCUUAUGAAUAAGGACCGGCUAAUUCCGUGCCAGCCGCCGCCGUAA